GCAGACACAUUCCAGCCAAUCAGCAGCAUACCCUCCCUCCCUCCCUCCCAGACCCUCCCACCUCCUGGACAGCUCACUAAGAAUGCAGCUUCACAAUGAAUGUAAAAUGGAUGCUGUCCAGGAGGUGGGAGGGUCUGGGAGGGAGGGCCUGCUGCUGAUUGGCUGGAAUGUGUCUG